rnacentral:tRNA from 1 species
GCCUUCGUGGUGUAACGGUUAGCACACUCGGCGUGUAUUCGAGAGGUCCAGGUUCAAGUCCCGGCGCGGGCA